GCCAUUUGAACCUUCAUCCAUGUGGACGACUUGCCUACAGAAAUGUGGUCUGUUUAUACUCUCAUUUGAUAGUAUUUGAUUAUGGGAUGUCAUUAGCUUUUGAAUGCCACCUUUUUAAAAAUUUGCGUUUCUCUAUGAGGCUAACCAGCUUUUCAUAUAUUUAGUUACUUGGAUGCUUUUUUUCUUCUGUGAACUCCCUUUGGAGUCCUGCAUGGGAACUUUAACUGGAGCAAAGGUUCAUUUAUGUAAUAAGAGUGUACUAAGUGCCUAGUAAAUCGUAGCUCCUCAGGCAAUGGGGUAAACAAAAUAGACAUGGUCCAUGCGGGCCAGACAGUAAAGAAGAAAAUGUGUCUGAGUACACAUUUGGUGGGUUCUUCCUUAGAUGCAGUGGUUAGGGAAGAUCUUUCUGAGGAGACAUGUAAGUGGAGACUUGAUAGAUAAGAAAUGAUGGGCCACAUGAGGUGUUAGGGAAGGAAGUGUUGUUCUUGGCCUCACAGACAGCAAGGUGAAGGUUUUCAGGCACAUGAGGACCUGGCAUGCUGGAGAAUGGGAAGAUACCCAAGCUGGUUAAAGCACAGUGAGGAAUGAGGUGGGUUUAUGUUUAGUCCCAACUGAAUUCAGGGGCAGACCUGGGCACUAUAUUCAAGGCUUUCUUUUCUUAGGUUAAAAACCCUACAAUGAAACUUUAGGCCAAUGUCUUUUGUGGGCAUGCUUGUAGAAUUAGACUUGUCGGGACUUACAGAAGCCCUCAUCUAUUGCUAAGCAGGACUACUAUGGAUCAUUCUUCACAAAGAAGGACAGGUUUGAAUAGCUUCGGAAAUAGAGUGAGUGCUUUCCCCUAAUUGCCCCCUCCUGUCGUUCAUGCUUUCGUUAGAGUCAACGGCUAUCCCUCAUGCUGCCACAGGAACCUUCUUUUGCCCUUCAUCCGUCCUCCCUCCACGUCAGGGAGGAAAAACUGAAUAAGGGGGAACACAGAAUGAGGACCCAGCGGGUGGACUAUGGUGCACAUCCCCUUCCUCCUGUGGCUCCUCGAUCUCUUUCAUCCAACAUUGCUGAAAAUGACCCCCACUGGGUUGCAUUUGGGCCAGGA
rnacentral:lncRNA from 1 species